AUCAUAACGCACAUUACAUGCCUUGUUUGUACUAGGCUAAGGAAUUACGAUAUAUUGAAGCGAUAAUUCCUGUAGUCCUGUGCGAUCCAGGCUGUGGAUGCGAUGA
rnacentral:pre_miRNA from 1 species